GGAGUAUGGACCGUGUCUCAGUUCCAUUGUGGCCGUUCAUCCUCUCAGACCGGCUACCGAUCGUCGGCUUGGUGCGCUUUUAUCACACCAACUACCUAAUCGGACGCAGGCUCCUCGCAAAGCGAUAAAUCUUUAGUAAAACUCCCAUGCGAGAAUCUUACAACAUCCGGUAUUAGCGUCCCUUUCGGGACGUUGUCCCCGACUUUGCGGCAGAUUACCUGCGCUUUACUCACCCGUUCGCCACUAAACCCGAAGGUUCCGUUCGACUUGCAUGUGUUAAGCACGCCGCCAGCGUUCGUC
rnacentral:rRNA from 1 species